GUAGAUAUAGUUUAACAAAAAUAUUAGAUUGUGAUUCUAAAGACAGGGGCUAAAAUCCCCUUAUUCACC
rnacentral:tRNA from 1 species